rnacentral:rRNA from 1 species
GACGAACGCUGGCGGCGUGCUUAACACAUGCAAGUCGAACGGAAAGGCCCUGCUUUUGUGGGGUGCUCGAGUGGCGAACGGGUGAGUAACACGUGAGUAACCUGCCCUUGACUUUGGGAUAACUUCAGGAAACUGGGGCUAAUACCGGAUAGGAGCUCCUGCUGCAUGGUGGGGGUUGGAAAGUUUCGGCUGUUGGGGAUGGACUCGCGGCUUAUCAGCUUCUUGGUGGGGUAGUGGCUUACCAAGGCUUUGACGGGUAGCCGGCCUGAGAGGGUGACCGGGCACAUGGGGCCUGAGAUAGGGCCCAGACUCCAACGGGAGGCAGUAGGGGGGAAUAUUGCACAAUGGGCGGACGUCUGAUGCAGAGGCGCCGCGUGCGGGAUGCCGGGCUUCGGGUUGUAAACCGCUUUCGCCUGUGACGAAGCGUGAGUGACGGUAAUGGGUAAAGAAGCACCGGCUAACUACGUG